ensembl:snRNA U4 U4 spliceosomal RNA
AGCCAUAUGCAGUGGCAGUAUCAUAGCCAAUGAGGUUUAUCUGAGGUGUAGUUAUUGCUAAUUGAAAACUUUUCCCAAUAUUCCACCAUGAUGACUUGAAAUAUAGUCAGCAUUGGCAAUUUUUGACAGUCUGCACAGA